GUGGGCUCGGAGCGACGACUAGGCCUUCCCACAUCCCGCCUUUUCUCUCCCCGCGUCCCCCGCCUGUGACCACCGCCACCCCGAGAGCACGGGAGGUGUGGGGGGAAUCUGAUGGGCUGGAAGUGGCUCUACAAUCACUGUCCACAGGACGGAAGGCGACGGGCUGGCAGAACCAAGUCUAGCCAGCAGUUGCACUGUAGAUACCAGACAGAAGAGGAUGAGACAAGCCCAGACAUCACCAUAACUGAGGUAGCAAGCUGAAGACCUGAGAGUCGCCAUACGGAAUCUUGAGUCCAGUCCAGAGUGUGAAACAGUGACUUCGCAGGGAGCAAGGGCAGCAGGUGAAGGAAUUUCAUUUUAAUCACAGGGUGAACUUUCUAUACAUAAACUCUAAAAGUCAAAGCACUUUCUUGCCUUAUUUCCCCAUGUGUUUCUUUAACUAAUCCUGACAUUGUUAUUUUAAUUAUUUAAAAAAGAGUUUUUUGGACAUGUUCCCCAACUAGAUUGUGAACUUCUUAAGGGCAGAAACCUGGUUUACCUAUCUCUGUUUGUUCCAUUCAAUGAAUAUUUACCCUCAGACCCA